rnacentral:rRNA from 1 species
GCCGCAGUUUCCUGUGCUAAGGUAGCGCAAUAACUUGCCUUCUAAUUAAAGGAUCGUAUAAAAGGACACAUGACUUUCUUAUUUUCUCAUAUAUUUUCAAUAAACUUAACCUACAAGUAAAAAGACUUGUAUUAACAAGAAAGACGACAAGACCCUAUAGAACUUCACUAUUGUUAAACUGGGGUGGUCAACAACAAAAGCUUAUCUUCCUUAACCACACAAAGACCUGGAACUUUCAACAAAAGAACAAGUUACCUUAGGGAUAACAGAGUAAUUCCUCUCUAGACCUGUUCCAAAGAGGAGCUUUCUACCUCGAUGUUGAAUUUAAUAUUACUUCAUAAAUAAACAUUAUACAAGUAGGUCUGUUCGACCUUUAAAAUAUUACAUGAU